ensembl:lncRNA
AGUAUCUAGUGUUGCACAUUGUUAGUGUCUUGAUGAAGCAGAGAGGAAGGAUUAAGGAAAGGAACUUGAAUCUAAGCAUCUAAGACAUCUUUUCAUAGAUUUUCAUGGAAAAAGUCUUAAUAAUUCCACAGGAAACUGAAAUGUGGGGACGUCUCAUAUUUUUAGUUCUGUUACUAUGCUAACUGUUCUAUAUGCGGCGCCUUUAACCUCAUAUAUCCCCAACAAACUACAAGAAUCAGUGUCGAAACAGAUUUCUUUACUUGUACUUCUUUUUCUGAAGAACAUGAGGAAGGAAAAAGAGAGAAAAGGAAAAUAAUGACGAAGAGGAGGAGGGGAAGAGGGCAGCUUAUGAGAAGUAAUGAUGAAUUAUAGAAGCUUGUCCCCAGGCUGAAGAGUCACUGUGCAGGGAGGGAUGGAGGGGGUGGGGGGUGAGUCAAUGAUGGAUGGAGAAAAAGACAGAGAUAGGAGAAAGGGGAUGGAAAAGGCGAAUAAAAAGAAGUAGCUCAAAGCAAAUGUUGAAAAAGGGAAGAGUUGGGAAAGAGGAUAAAAGGAGGAGAGGGACGGGUGGUCAGAGAAAAGAUACUGACGGGUGACAGGAGGAGGCAGAACCAUGUGUGGGUCAGUGCAUUCUGUCACAGAGCACAAAACUAUGCAAAGCCCCAGUUCCUGUUGCCAUGGAAACCAGGAAAGCUCUUUCAUGUUUCACAGUGUUGCCCACGGUAACUGUCAUGAGAUUGAAUGAACGAUGGGGGGGGUGAUGAGGCCAUAAUUUCAGAGGAAUACACAGAACCAGGGUUCUGGUCCAGCUGUUUCCGGAUGUUUCCUGAAACGUGCACAUCUGGGCUACAUCUGCAGCGAAAAUAUUCAGCUCGUGGAACUUUGAGGCUGUGAGAAACAGCCUGCCUGCAUCGUGUCUGAAACAUAUCAGCUGAAUAACACCGAGAAAUAUUCUUAUCUGCUCUGAAGCGUGACCCCGGGUUCCUGUGAACCUGAAACAGCUGUCUCACUGAAACAAAGUGGGAGGAGCCACUGGGUUUCCCGCUGACAUUUCCGUCUUAUAAAGUUUGACCUCCGACACAGGAAGCUCUCCGGGAUCAUGGACUGCGACUAGACGGCGUAGGCCACACCCACUGCAGACACACAAGCUAAAGGGGUGAUCGCCUGUGGACGCUCAGCAGAUUUUACACUGCUGGAAGAAUCGAUAGUGGACGCUUUUAACCACUUCCCCUGCAGCCGGACAGAUCUUUCUGAAGAGGAGGUACAACAUGCCCAGGACCCACUACAGUUUGCAUACAAGGCGGGUGUCGGAGUGGAGGAUGCCAUCCUGUACCUCCUACACAGAGCCCACUCACACCUGGAUGGGGGAAAAGGCACGGUCAGGAUCCUGUUUCUUGACUUUUCCAGUGCCUUUAAUACCAUCCGGCCCUGUAUGCUUCAGGAAAAACUGAACAGGAUGGAGGUGGACCCCUGCCUGGUG